AGGGAAUCUUCGGCAAUGGACGAAAGUCUGACCGAGCAACGCCGCGUGAGUGAAGAAGGUUUUCGGAUCGUAAAACUCUGUUGGUAGAGAAGAACGUUGGUGAGAGUGGAAAGCUCAUCAAGUGACGGUAACUACCCAGAAAGGGACGGCUAACUACGUGCCAGCAGCCGCGGUAAUACGUAGGUCCCGAGCGUUGUCCGGAUUUAUUGGGCGUAAAGCGAGCGCAGGUGGUUUAUUAAGUCUGGUGUAAAAGGCAGUGGCUCAACCAUUGUAUGCAUUGGAAACUGGUAGACUUGAGUGCAGGAGAGGAGAGUGGAAUUCCAUGUGUAGCGGUGAAAUGCGUAGAUAUAUGGAGGAACACCGGUGGCGAAAGCGGCUCUCUGGCCUGUAACUGACACUGAGGCUCGAAAGCGUGGGGAGCAAAACAGGAUUAGA
rnacentral:rRNA from 1 species